rnacentral:rRNA from 1 species
CAAUAGCGUAUAUUUAAGUUGUUGCAGUUAAAAAGCUCGUAGUUGGAUUUCGGAUGGGGACGACCGGUCCGCCGUUGCGGUGUGCACUGGUGGUCGUCAUCUUGAUGUCGGGGAUACGCUUCUGGCCUUAACUGGCUGGGACGUAGAGUCGGCGAUGUUACUUUGAAAAAAUUAGAGUGUUCAAAGCAGGCCUAAGCUCUGAAUACAUUAGCAUGGAAUAACGCGAUAGGACUCUGGUCUUAUUGUGUUGGUCUUCGAGACCGGAGUAAUGAUUAAGAGGGACAGUUGGGGGCAUUCGUAUUUCAUUGUCAGAGGUGAAAUUCUUGGAUUUAUGAAAGACGAACUUCUGCGAAAGCAUUUGCCAAGGAUGUUUUCAUUAAU